UGUGAAUUGCAGAAUUCAGUGAAUCAUCGAAUCUUUGAACGCACCUUGCGCCCCUUGGUAUUCCGAGGGGCACGCCUGUUUGAGUGUCGUGAAAUUCUCACCUCCACCCCYUCUUUUUUGAAGGGGUGGCUGCGUGGAYGUGGAGGGCCUUGCCGGGAAAACCGACCGCUUGUCGGGAGGGAAAUCGGCUCCUCUGAAAUGCAUUAGUCGAGACCCCNGUGUUCKGCCUUCGGUGUGAUAAUUGUCUACGCCGUGGGGUUGAACGAAGCGGGACCUGCUUCUMCACCUUGUUGCUACCUUUCGAGGUGGUGCAGCUUUCAUCGAAACUGACCUCAAAUCAGGC
rnacentral:rRNA from 1 species